rnacentral:rRNA from 1 species
UGGCUCAGGAUGAACGCUAGCUAUAGGCUUAACACAUGCAAGUCGAGGGGCAGCAUAUAGAUUGCUUGCAAUUUAUGAUGGCGACCGGCGCACGGGUGAGUAACGCGUAUCCAACCUACCCAUUACUAGGGAAUAACCCAGCGAAAGUUGGCCUAAUGCCCUAUGUAGUCGUUUGAUCGCCUGAGAUUUCGACGAAAGAUUUAUCGGUAUUGGAUGGGGAUGCGUCUGAUUAGCUUGUUGGCGGGGUAAAGGCCCACCAAGGCAACGAUCAGUAGGGGUUCUGAGAGGAAUGUCCCCCACAUUGGAACUGAGACACGGUCCAAACUCCUACGGGAGGCAGCAGUGAGGAAUAUUGGUCAAUGGGCGAGAGCCUGAACCAGCCAAGUAGCGUGCAGGAUGACGGCCCUAUGGGUUGUAAACUGCUUUUAUAUGGGAAUAAAGUGAGGGACGUGUCCCUUAUUGCAUGUACCAUAUGAAUAAGGACCGGCUAAUUCCGUG